AUCCGGCUUUAAAAACCAUGAUUUGUUGGCGGGAGUAACUAUGACUCUCUUAAGAUAGCCAAAUGCAUCGUCAUCUAAUUAGUGACGUGCAUGAAUGGAU
rnacentral:ncRNA from 1 species